rnacentral:rRNA from 1 species
GACGAACGCUGGCGGCGUGCUUAACACAUGCAAGUCGAACGAAAAGACCCUGCGUUUGUGGGUUUCUCGAUUGGCGCACAGGGGAGUAACACGUGAGUAACCCGCCCUUAACUGUGUGGGAACUUCAGGAAACUGGGGCGAAUACCGGAGAGGAGAUCCUGCUGCGCAGGGUGCGUUGGAAAAAUACGGCGUUGGGGGAACUUCUAGCGGCAUACGAGCCGCUUUAGCUAGUUGGUACGGUCACGGCUUACCAAGGCAACGAUGCGUAGCCGACCGGAGAGGGGGAUCGGCCACAUUGGAACGGAGACAGCGACCAGAGUCCUACGGGAGGGCGCAGUAGGGAAUGUUCCGCAAUGGGCGAAAGCCUGACGGAGCAACGCGGCGUGAGUGAUGGAGGUCUUCGGAGCGUAAAACUCUGUUAUUAGGGAAGAACAAAUGUGUAAGUAACUAUGCACGUCGUGACGGUACCGAAUCAGAAAGCCACGGCUAACUACGUG